rnacentral:rRNA from 1 species
AGAGUUUGAUCAUGGCUCGGAAUGAACGUUGGCGGCAUGGAUUAGGCAUGCAAGUCGAGCGAGAAGUUCUAGUUUGACGCUUCGGUUGAUUCUAGAAUGGACAGCGGCGAAAGGGUGAGUAACGCGUAGUUACAUGCCUCAGGGUCUGGAAUAGCCACGGGAAACUGUGGGUAAUGCCAGAUAAUAUCUCCGGAUCAAAGGUGAGAUUCCGCCCUGAGAGUGGACUGCGUCCUACUAGCUUGUUGGUGGGGUAAUGGCCUACCAAGGCUCCGAUGGGUAGCGGGCGUGAGAGCGUGGCCCGUCACACUGGGACUGAGACACUGCCCAGACACCUACGGGUGGCUGCAGUCGAGAAUCUUCGGCAGUGCGCGAAAGCGUGACCGAGCAAUGCCGCGUGCGGGAUGAAGGCCUUCGGGUUGUAAACCGCUGUCAGUUGGGAGGAAGGAUUCGUGAAGAGCGAAUCUUGACCUAUCUUCAGAGGAAGUACGGGCUAAGUACGUGCCAGCAGCCGCGGUAACACGUACCGUACAAACGUUAUUCGGAAUUAUUGGGCUUAAAGGGUGCGUAGGCGGCGUUAUAAGUCGGGUGUGAAAUCCCUCAGCUCAACUGAGGAACUGCGCCCGAUACUGUAGCGCUUGAGGGAGACAGGGGUGAGCGGAACUGAUGGUGGAGCGGUGAAAUGCGUUGAUAUCAUCAGGAACACCGGUGGCGAAAGCGGCUCACUGGGUCUCUUCUGACGCUGAGGCACGAAAGCUAGGGUAGCGAACGGGAUUAGAUACCCCGGUAGUCCUAGCCGUAAACGAUGAGUACUUGGUCGAGGGUCCCCCCAUAGACUCUCGGCCGUA